rnacentral:lncRNA from 1 species
AGAAAAGUUAUUUGUCUGGAAAAGAGAUAAUGUCAAGGUAGUAGGACACCCUUUCCUAUUAAAAAGCUAGUGCCGUACCUGGACUAACUUCUUGGAGAAUUCGUACCGUUAGUCACGCUUUAAGCUCGAGAGAGUUAAAGUGAAAUAGUCCUUGUUUAGGUCGAGAGACGCUUGGAUUUACCAUCGACUACAAUUCUCUAUAAGCAAUUACAUGUCAAGACUCUACACACUCAUAGCCAAUAGAGACGUAUACCUCAGAAGGUGGACAUAACCCCAACGCCUCAAUUCUCAUUGUUUACAACACACGUGACAAUCUCUCUUUAUUUUGCUAUUUUCAGUUCUUACAUUCUUGUUUUGGUUACAUACUACAAUCCCCCCUUUCCUACGAGACUUGCACUAAAAGUCUAGUAAUUUCUCUUGCUUGUUGGCCAAGCUAUUCUCUGUGGGAUCGAUACCCAACCCAGGUUGGGUUCUAUAUUUGCUAACGACCGCUUUACACUCCCACGAGAGCUGUAGAUUGAGCGUUAUCAAAAAUUGGCGCCGUUGCCGGGGAAUACGAGUGUCAAUCAAGUUCGUGAAAAUUACUAGACCCUUUGGUCAAAGAUUCUCGUACUUUUACGUUUAGUUUUUGUUUUUGUUUAUUGCAGGUUUUUCUUUUAGUGCAUGCCCCAUACUAGAAGUUCUGGUCAACCGUUAUUACCAAUCAAUCCGGAACCACAACGAAUCAGAAGAAUGGAAGCACAAGCGGAAAUCGACAGGAUGGCUGCUCAACAUGAGCAAGCAAGAUUAGCUGCUCUUGCCGCUGCUCAAGUCCAACAACAAAACAUUGAUAAUCCUGGACGAGCAACAAAUCCUGACGAUGAAGAUUUAGGAGAUGACGAGUUGAUCAACCCAAGGCAUGGCGCUGAAAUGGCAACACCUACCAACAGACGAGGUCGACAAGCUCGGUACAGAUAUGAUCGCCAACCUUUGCAACCAGCUUUCGACGAUGAUGAUGAUGAUCUUGAUGGUGCCGGAGCCACUGGAGCUAUAAUUCCACCACCAUUAGCGCCCGGAGCCAAGUUCAACAUCACUAGCACCAUGAUUCAGUUAUUGCAACUCAAGGGAUUAUUUGGUGGACUAGCAGGCGAUGAUCCGAAUAUGCAUCUCAUCAACUUUAUUUCUACAUGCAAGUCUUUUGACAAUCCUGGAGUUGGUCAGAAUGCUAUUCGAUUACGUCUAUUUCCAUUGUCUCUGUCUGGGGAGGCAACAUUAUGGUUGAAUGGGCUGACUCCUGAUUCUAUUACAAAUUGGAGGCAAUUGAGAGACGCUUUCCUAGAAAGAUUCUUUCCGCCAUCCAAGAGGGCUCAAUUGAGAGAUGAAAUCAGCAACUUUCGUCAGCUUCCCUCUGAAGCUCUUCACGAAACAUGGGAGAGGUUCAAGACAAAGCUAGCGAGAUGCCCAAACCAUCACAUGACUAAUGUUCACCUCAUGGAGAUCUUAUAUAGAGCCUUGAAUUCAGUAACUAAACCAGUGGUGGACAACGCAGCUGGAGGUUCUUUUAUGGACCUCACCUUUGGUCAAGCAAGCAACAUGCUAGAUCGUAUGACGAAACAAAGUAGAGCUUGGCAUACCAGGGAUUCUGAGGUAGCAAGCCCCACUUUAUCUAUUGGCAUGUCUGCAGAUCAAAGAAGGAGAGAAGAAGAACGUGAUCAAGAUAUGGCGCACAUGAAAACCCAAAUGGAUCUUCUUACAAAGCAUCUAUUAGGGAAGACUGAAAAAGUGAAAUCUAUUGCGUCAAAAGGAAGAGACGAAUCUGAUUCAGAAGAGGAGGCCAACUACUUGAACAAUCAGGGGGGUUUCCGUGGGAAUGCCCAAGGAAACCAAGGUCGGAACUAUUAUGACAAAUCUGGAGGUAAAGACCAAGGUAGUUGGAAGAAAAAUAAUGAAAACAGUGGUUUGUACGUUCCCCCUGGUAGACGUGAUACCACCACAUCUAAUUCUAUGGAAGACAUGAUGGCUAAGUUAUUGAAAGGAGUGGAAGCGACGAAUGCGGGAGUUAAGGAGGUGAUUGACGAUUUGGCCUCCAUGAAGCAAUUAGUUGAUUCUCAUUCCACUUCUAUCAAGCAACUAGAGCAGCAAUUCAGUCAACUUUCAGCAACACUCAACCAAAGAAAAGCCGGCACCUUGCCUAGCGAUACGGUGCAAAAUCCAAGGACUGAUGGGUCAUGCAUGGCCAUCACUACGAGGAGUGGUAAGGUGCUGGAAACUUCAGCAGAAGGCAAGCAAAUAGUUGACAGAACAGCAGACACAACCGCCACACCUAGUGACGCCACUAGGGAAGACGCCGCAAUAUCCACUUCCAACGUCAAGGACGUGUUGCCUAGUGACGUGCAGCCUGAAAAAAGUAAUAAACGGAAGCAAGAGGAGAAGAAAGCCAUGGAAAGAACACUUCCAUACCCACCACCACCUUUUCCACAAAGACUGAAGAAGGCGGCCGAUGACACUAAGUUCAGCAAGUUCAUGACCAUCUUGAAGCAGCUGACUAUUAAUGUCCCAUUGGUAGAGGCACUUGAACAAAUGCCUGGGUAUGCGAAGUUUAUGAAAGAUCUUUUGACUAAGAAGAGGGCAGCAAGCUAUGAGCUGAAAGAAGAUGUGCAUCAUUGUAGUGCAAUAGCUACCCGAUCCAUAGUUCAGAAGAAGGCCGACCCCGGAGCUUUCACUAUUCCUUGCACCGUCGGAUCUUUGGACUUUGCUAAAGCAUUAUGUGACUUAGGAGCCAGCAUCAACUUGAUGCCAUUAUCAAUCUACAAGAAGUUGGGGUUGGGAGAUCCUACACCAACUAAUAUGAAGCUUGUUAUGGCGGAUAGGUCGGUAAAACGACCGGUUGGUAUUCUAUGCGAUGUCUUGGUGAAGGUAUCUUCAUUCAUAUUUCCAGCAGACUUUGUCAUCUUGGAUUGCGAAGCAGAUUCAGAGGUUCCCAUAAUCUUGGGACGCCCUUUCCUUGCUACGGGAAGUGUGCUCAUAGAUUUGAGAGCUAAUGAACUUUCAUUCCGAAUAAAUGAUGAAGUGGUGCGCUUUGAUGUUUGCAAAUCAAUGAAGCAACCCAAAGAUCUAAGUGUAUUUUCUGUGACUGAUGUUGUCGUUGAUGACGAGGAUGAGUUACUUGCUGAAGAACAAAUUCUUGAUGAUCCUUUGGAGGUUUUGCUCAUGGAAGAAGAUGAUGAUGAUGCUGAAAUUUCUGAAGAUGAUAUUUGUGCUCUAUCGGGAUUAGGAGCAUAUCGCUAUCCUCCUAAGAAGCUGGAUAUUGAUCUCAAGAAUCGACCCACACCACCAGCUAAGCCAUCUAUUGAAGAACCACCCACAUUAGAAUUAAAGGAGCUGCCAAGCCAUUUGAAGUAUGCAUUCUUAGGAAGCGGAAACACUCUUCCAGUCAUAGUGGCAGCCGAUUUAGGUGAGCAACAAGUUGCAGCUCUUAUUGCAAUUUUACGCAAGUAUAUUAGAGCUAUUGGAUGGACCAUUGCGGAUAUCCUUGGUAUUCCACCUGGAAUUUGCACUCAUAAAAUUCAGCUCCAAGAAAAGUGCACACCCACCAUCGAACACCAAAGACGUCUAAACCCACCAAUGCAAGAGGUGGUGAAGAAGGAGAUUAUCAAGUGGUUAGACGCAGGAGUUGUGUAUCCUAUUUCUGAUAGUACAUGGGUAAGCCCAGUACAAUGUGUUCCCAAGAAAGGAGGUAUGACGGUGGUUGCGAAUGCAAAGAAUGAGCUUAUUCCACUCAGGCCCGUCACUGGAUGGAGAGUAUGCAUGGACUACCGCAAGCUGAAUUCUUGGACUCUCAAGGAUCACUUCCCCAUGCCAUUUAUGGACCAAAUGCUAGAUCGAUUAGCGGGAAAAGGAUGGUUUUGCUUUCUUGAUGGUUAUUCAGGUUAUAAUCAGAUUUUUAUUGCACCAGAAGACCAAGAGAAGACAACGUUUACAUGCCCAUAUGGUACGUUUGCCUUCAAACGUAUGCCAUUCGGGUUAUGUAAUGCACCAGCCACCUUUCAGCGAUGUAUGAUGUCUAUUUUCUCUGAUAUGGUAGAAGACACUUUGGAGGUAUUUAUGGACGACUUUUCAGUUGUUGGGGAGUCUUUCGAAGCAUGUUUGGUGAAUUUAAGCAUGGCAUUACAAAGAUGUGUAGAGUUCAACCUUGUGCUGAAUUGGGAGAAGUGCCACUUCAUGGUAAAAGAAGGAAUUGUUCUUGGGCACAAGAUCUCCGAAAAAGGAAUAGAGGUUGAUCGCGCCAAAAUAGAGGUAAUUGAGAAGCUACCACCUCCAAUUUCGGUGAAGGGAGUUCGUAGUUUUCUUGGCCAUGCUGGGUUUUAUCGUAGAUUCAUCAAAGACUUCUCCAAAAUUUCUAGUCCAUUAUGCAAGCUAUUGGAGAAAGAUGCGAAGUUUGACUUUAAUGAUGAUUGCUUAAAGGCAUUUGAAUGCCUUAAAGAAAAACUCGUUGAAGCCCCUAUCAUGGUAACACCAGAUUGGACGCUCCCGUUCGAAGUCAUGUGUGAUGCUAGUGGUGUAGCCGUUGGUGCUGUUCUUGGACAGAGAAAGGAGAAAUUAUUUCAUCCUAUCUACUAUGCGAGUAAGGUCCUCAAUGAAGCCCAAAGGAACUACACCGUCACUGAACAAGAGCUAUUAGCGGUUGUGUAUGCGUUUGAGAAGUUCCGCGCCUACCUAUUAGGUACUAAAGUGAUCGUUCAUACAGACCAUGCAGCUCUUAGGUAUCUAAUGACAAAGAAGGAUGCAAAACCAAGGCUGAUUCGAUGGGUGUUGCUGCUGCAAGAGUUUGAUUUCGAAGUCAAAGAUAGAAGAGGUUGCGAGAACCAAGUGGCUGAUCACCUAUCUAGACUUGAGAAUGAGUAUGUGGCGCAAUCAGAAAAUCAGAUUGGCGAUGCAUUCCCUGACGAGGAGAUAUUAGCGACAACAAUAGAAGACUUACCAUGGUAUGCCGACUUUGCGAAUUUCGUGGUGAGUAAUGUGUUACCUACAAAUUUAUCUUACCACCAGAGGAGGAAGUUUAUGCAUGACGUUCAGCACUAUUAUUGGGAUGAGCCUUAUUUGUUUCGAAGAUGUGCGGAUGGUAUCAUUCGACGAUGUAUAUCCCAUGACGAAGUGCCCACUAUAUUAGAAGCAUGCCACACUUCGCAAGUUGGAGGACAUCAUGCGGGUAAUCGAACAGCAAGAAAAGUCUUGCAAAGUGGUUAUUAUUGGCCUACAAUAUUCAGAGAUGCACACGACUAUGUGAGAAGGUGUGACCAAUGCCAACGUCAAGGUGUUAUUUCAAAACACCAUGAAAUGCCCAUGUCCACAAUCCUGGAGGUAGAACUCUUUGAUGUAUGGGGUAUUGAUUUCAUGGGACCAUUCGUAAAUUCGUUUGGAAUGAAGUACAUCUUGGUUGCUGUGGAUUAUGUGUCGAAAUGGGUUGAAGCUGUAGCAUUGGCCGAUAAUGAAGGAAAGCGUGUUGUAGCGUUUUUAAAGAAGAAUAUCUUCUCUCGCUUUGGGGUACCUCGUACUAUCAUAAGUGAUGGAGGAUCUCACUUCUGCAACAAGCUAUUCAAAUCUGUAUUGGCCAAGUAUGGAGUCAAGCAACACAAGGUAGCUACGCCUUAUCAUCCCCAAACUAGUGGACAAGUAGAGGUUUCCAAUCGGGAGAUCAAGCAAAUCCUUGCCAAGACGGUCAAUGCGAAUCGGAAGGAUUGGUCUCGGAAGCUAGAUGAUGCACUAUGGGCGUAUAGGACUGCAUUCAAGACACCCAUUGGCAUGUCACCUUAUCAGCUAGUUUAUGGGAAGGCUUGUCAUCUACCCAUCGAGCUUGAAUACAAGGCAUUAUGGGCAUUGAAGCACUUGAAUCUGAAUUGGGAUGAUGUGAAGAACCUGAGGUUGGAGCAGCUGAACGAGCUAGAUGAAUUCCGUCUCCAUGCUUAUGAAAGAUCAGAUUUAUACAAGGAGCGGAUGAAGAAGUAUCACGAUCAGCGGAUUGUUCGACGACACUUCCAAAAAGGUGACAUGGUGCUACUCUUUAACUCCAGAUUCAAGCUCUUCCCAGGUAAGUUAAAAUCAAAGUGGUCUGGUCCAUUUAAAGUCACCCACGUCUACUCGUUUGGAGUAGUCGAAUUGGAAAAUAAUGAGGGUGUUAUCUUCAAGGUGAAUGGCCAACGUGUUAAGCCAUAUAUCGGUCCUCUUGACUCGAUAAAUGACAUGGCCAUCACUUAUCUCGACGAAGUCUAAGUACUCGAGAUUACUACGUCGAGCCACGACAAUAAAUAAGGCGCUAGAUGGGAGGCAACCCUUCGUUUUAUUGUUUUAUCGUUUUGUCGUUUUAGUAUUUUUUCUUUUUGAUAAAUGAAAAUCCAAAAAUAAGAGUCGUGCCACGACCAAAACUAAGGCGCUUGGUGGGAGGCAACCCAUCGUACUAAUCGUUUUCAUUUGUUUGAGCAAAUAUAGGUGUAAGAAGUAUGCAACGAGGAGAUUGAUUUCAAUUGACGAUUUGGUCGCGUCGUAUGGUAAAGGCGGUAAGUUAGGAAUGGUGAUGCAUAAGGCUAUGAAUUGAGCCUUUCUCACGUCAUAAUAGGCUUCGAGGAAGGCUAGGCCUUGGUAAAAAUAGGCCACGAACGAUGCACAACCUAUUCUAUAGCCUAAGGACUCGGAAUCUAGUGUGCUAUACCCUAUGCGCCGCCUAUUCCUAGGUGUGCUUUUGACUAUGCGCCGCCUAUGUCCCAUUAUGCCAUGGACAAUGCGCCGCAUAUACAUGUGAUAUGCCGAGGGAUAUGCGCCGCAUAUAGGGUGAUUUUGUCCCCAAAUCCGAUUGUAAAUGGGUCAUAACCCGACCCAUACUCCUCCUAUAUAAAGGGGACUUGUUUUUAUUUCACAAACACAUUAGAAUCAACCCUAAAGGCGCCGCAUAUCAUCCCAAAUCCUCUCAAAUUUUUCUUCCUUUGUUCUUCCAAUCCACAACAACUUCUCCACAAUCUUCAAGCAAGUAAGUGCUCUCUUAUUCUUCAUCUAUUUAUCAUGAGUACUACUUUACUAUGCUUAUUAUUAAAUGCUAAAUCACGUGAGAUUAGUGGUGAUGUUCAUGUGCUUGGAUAAUUGUUGCAAAAAUCGUAUGAUUGAAUGAAUACGAAUGCAAUUCUUGACUUGUUUCCGACUUGAAUUUUGUUUCAAUGGCAUUGUUAUGAUACUUGCUGAACAUAUAUGGCUAUGAAUAUUGCUUGAAAGUGUUGUUUGGAUGCUUGCAUGAUUCACCACCCCGGCCAUCGGGAUACGGUUAUAGUGACUAUCCACGUAGGAGGUAGUGUUGGUUGUUCGAAUAGCAAUUCCAUGUGGUAACUCCUAUGUUAUAGUAUCGCUAUAUGCACCAUGAAAGACGUCCAAAUGGCUGUUCAUAAGUGAUGUCAUGCUGAUUUUCUUGUCGGAAUACAAUCCGAGGACGUAUGUCGACGAAGUCUGAGUACUCGACCACUUUCACUUCACUGAUUUUUGCUAACAAGAUUAAGUGUGGGGUGGUACCCCUAAUGCUUGCAUAUAGAAUUGUCUAAAGUGCGAUUGUGCCGCAUCUAACAUUAUUUCUAGUCUCAGGUACAAUGGCACCGAAAGCAAGGCAAGGCAAGGAGAAGGCUACCACAACCCGCAAGGACAAAAAGAGAAGCCGAAAAGACCAAGGCGAAUCAUCUUCCGCACACCUACCACGCAGAAUGUUCGGAAUCAAAUGGGUUCUUGAGGAAGAAGCCAAGGCAUGGUACAGCAGCAACAAAGAAAAGAAAUAUGUGCACGUCGACUUAAUCAAUAAGGAGACCUUAGCAAAGAAGGAGCCGCAAAUGUUGGCUAAGAUUAUGGCUUUGAAGCUGGAUUUCAUCUUCCGUGACAUGGGAGAGUGCAAUCUUGACUUGACAAGAGAGUUUUAUGCCAACUGGUCGCCAAACACAACAGGCAACGAAGUCAAAAUUCGGGGCCAAGUGUUACAGCUUACAGCGGAUUGGAUCAACUCGUUUCUAGGCCUACCUUCGGUCGACACUGCACCAUACAAAGAGCUGUACAGCAGACCUCCUUACAGAGCUAUAAGACACACGCUUUGUGGAAGCAGAUCGAUGGCGAGAUGGGGCAGACAUAAGGAAACAGGCCGUCACAACACAUUCCCCUAUGCUCCACUAAAUAGGGAAGCAAGAAUCUGGAUGCGCAUUGUCAACUCAUGCCUCAUUCCUGGGACGCAAUACACAAAGAUAUCGAGAGAUAGAGUGUGCCUGGUUUAUUCAUUAAUGACGAAUGUCCCUAUCAACUUUGGGGCAAUCAUUCGAUCCACCAUGAGGAAAGCCAGACUCCACAGCAGGUCCUAUUUCACAUUCGGCAAUUUGUUGACAGCAAUGUUGCGGAAGGAGGAUAUAGAAGAGGAACCAGCUGACCACAAACUCCCACAUACCCCAAAGAAGGUUGACCUCACCAAGGUCAAAGAUGCUGAAACAACGCAUGGAGUCAACCUUACCACUGCGGAGAGACAUGCUCGUGACGAGAGUUUCUUCCGUCAUCUCUAUGGCAUGACGAGAUUCACUAUGAUGAGUGGUGGACGUAUUCCAACUGCUGAAGAGCUCCAACAGCUGGACCACGACUACCCAAUGAACAGACAUGCCCGGGAGAUGUGUGGAGUGGGAGUAUAUUUCGAGGAACCUCUUGAUGAUGACGUGCCAACUGAUGAUGAUAGACGCUUGCCUGAUUCUGAUGCUGAGGAGAACUCUGACGAUGACUCUUACGAUGACUCGAACGAAGGGGGUAUGACAUUGAGGAAGAGUCCGACUAAUCAGGUUCUUCGACUUUAUUUUCCACUGAGGGCAGUGUCUAGUCUAAGUGUGGGGUGUCGGCAGAAUCUGCAUGCUAUAUUUGUAUGUUUGCUUGUUUAUUUUGUUUUAUUUAUUUUGUUUUGAGUCCGAUUUUUUUUGUGAUUUUUUUCGUGUGACGUUUUUUUUUAGUUUUUAGUAGUUAAAAUUUUUCUAGCCUCGCAUGAAAUUAUUUUAAUAGGCAGCAUGAGAUUAUAACAAUAGUAUGUAUUACAAUUGUGACUAUUGAGACAUUUAGGCUCUAGUUGUGACUCAUUAUGUGAUAGUGUGUGAUUCAAUUCCUUCACUUGUUGGGUUGAGAGUCUAUAUUGCUACCAAUCAAGUCGACCAUGUGCCUUGUGUGUGUGAGAUAAUAGUAUAUUCUAUGUAUGUGGCUGAUGCUAGAACUUGCCUGGUAUGUAUGCAAAGCGAAAAUAAGGAGUGUAAGUUUAGGAUAUGAUUUAGGCAUUUCUUUGGCAACCUAUAUUUGUUUACCUUCAGUUUUACCUACCCAUGGACAUCAUCCUAGUUAAACCCUUUUGAGCCUUUAGCCUAUUUCUUUGACAACCUUGUAUGUAAGCCUAAUUCAUUUUUUUUCAAGACCGUAAUUUGAUCCAAAUUCCUAAGUGCUUUAAAGUAAAAAAGUCAUGUGACAACAUAAGAGGAAAUUGGUUGAGUAUGAUGCUUUAAAUUGUAAUGGUGCUUGAAUAUGUUAUGAAAAAGAAAGUGCUAUCAUAAGAGGUAUGUUGUGAGAAGAAAAAGGAAAAGAAAGCUGAAAAGUGAGUUGUGCUUUAAAAUUGAAAAACAAAAGAGGAGAACAAGGGUGCUACAAAAAAAGUGUCAAUAAUACAAUGUGAUGUAUUAAAGUGCUUAGGAACUUAGUCACUAUUUCUGGCCAAAAUAGUUGAUCCUACCCGUCCCUUAGCCUACAUUACAACCAUCAAAAGACCUACUUGAUCCUAACCUUAACAUUCCGACAUUUAGUGGAGUACUACAUUAAGGGCAAGCCUAUGGUCAUUAGCUGCUACAUAUGAAUUCUUUGUGAGAGUGAGCGCAAGGAUACUUUGCUGCCCAUGUUUGAAAAAUAUGCUAUACUUGUGAGUGAUUAUGGGUACUAUAUUGUGAGACACACAUGGUUGAUGAGUUUUGGAUAGUUGUAUAUGAUUCUAUGUACCUUAAACGUUUGCAUGCGAGUUGAUCACCAUCACGAGUCUAUGCUUGAGGUUAAAUUGUUUCUACUUAUAAUCGGAAAGCUACUCUUCGUUGAUAAUUGUUGUGCUUGUCUUGAAGAAUGUUUUGUGUUGUUUCUGUAAAAACCUUAAGUCAAUGCUUAGAAGGACAUGAUAUGUUGUUCGAGGACGAACAAAGCUCUAAGUGUGGGGUGUUGAUGAUAGGCGAAAUUACGCGCCUAUAUCAAUAUAUUUUGCCCAUAUUUUAGCCUAGUUUCGAGAACUAAUUAUCUAUUUCGUACACUUUUAGUCCUUUUUCCUGUAAAUGAGCUAACAAAUGUGAUUAGGAAAGUUUCAGGUAUAAAUGAUGCAAAAUACAGCAAUUUAUGGCUUACUUGACGCAAAAGAAAGCUCACAAACGAGAUGGAAAGGAGCUGGACGCAUAAAGGACUAAAUCUGCUGCAUGGAAAAUCUGUCCCGGGCUAAAACAGCAUUUCUGAAGACUUUGGGACUUACAGACACAAAGCUGGAUUUUUGCCAUAAUACAUUAACCUAGUGCAAUUAGGUUAUGUGUUUCAUCAUUCUAUUUGGAUUAUAAUUUUGUAACCUUACCCUAGUACAAUUGGGUCAAGGAUUUCAUUAGUAUAUUAGGAUUUGGUUAUUUAUUUUAUUAGUUUAGUAGGAGUAGGAUAGGAGUAUUAUAAAUACCCUAUCAUGUUAGAGAUUUUCAAGAAGGGAGACAUUCUGACAAUUCAUUCAUCUCCUUACAAUUAAGACAUCUUCCUACAACCCAUUCUCAAUUCUUCAUUCUUCUACUCUUAAAUUCCACAACAAGAGAAUCGUUACUUGCUACGGAAUCACUAAAACCACACGCCAAACACCUACUAUUCACGCCAUCCACCAUGCAAAACGUGAUAUCCUUCGCAUUCAUGGGUAACUAAAUCUCUUAGUUGGGGUUAUGGAAGCCGAAUGAGUUACUAUCUAUAGCUAUGAGUUUGUGAGUUCAAGACAAGUAUAUUGCUUAUAUCAUUAUUCUCUUCAUCUUAAAUCUACAUUCUUUGCGGUUCAAACACAAGAACACGCCAUUCUAACAUCUAACCUGUUCGAGAGAAAGGUUAUUUGUCUAGAAAAGAAGACGCAUAGACCAACGCCAGUCUAACAUCUGACUUGUUCGAGAGAAAAGUUAUUUGUCUGGAAAAGAGAUAAUGUCAAGGUAGUAGGACACCCUUUCCUAUUAAAAAGCUAGUGCCGUACCUGGACUAACUUCUUGGAGAAUUCGUACCGUUAGUCACGCUUUAAGCUCGAGAGAGUUAAAGUGAAAUAGUCCUUGUUUAGGUCGAGAGACGCUUGGAUUUACCAUCGCCUACAAUUCUCUAUAAGAAAUUACAUGUCAAGACUCUACACACUCAUAGCCAAUAGAGACGUAUACCUCAGAAGGUGGACAUAACCCCAACGCCUCAAUUCUCAUUGUUUACAACACACGUGACAAUCUCUCUUUAUUUUGCUAUUUUCAGUUCUUACAUUCUUGUUUUGGUUACAUACUACAAUCCCCCCUUUCCUACGAGAC